AAUACGUUCCCGGGCUUGUACACACCGCCCGUCAAACAAUGGAAGUUGAGAGUAUCUAAAGUCGAUAACCGCAAGGAGUCGCCUAGGGUAAAAUCAGUAACUGGUGUU
rnacentral:rRNA from 1 species